AUUGAACGCUGGCGGCAUGCUUUACACAUGCAAGUCGAACGGCAGCGGGUCCUUCGGGAUGCCGGCGAGUGGCGAACGGGUGAGUAAUGCAUCGGAACAUACCCAGUCGUGGGGGAUAACGUAGCGAAAGUUACGCUAAUACCGCAUACGUCCUGAGGGAGAAAGCGGGGGAUCGCAAGACCUCGCGCGAUUGGAGUGGCCGAUGUCAGAUUAGCUAGUUGGUGGGGUAAAGGCCCACCAAGGCGACGAUCUGUAGGGGGUCGGAGAGGAUGGGCCUCCACACUGGGACUGGGACCCGGCCCAGACUCCUGCGGGAGGCAGCAGUGGGGAAUUUUGGACAAUGGGGGCAACCCUGAUCCAGCCAUGCCGCGUGCGGGAAGAAGGCCUUCGGGUUGUAAACCGCUUUCGGACGGAAAGAAAUCGCCAUCUCUAAUACAGGUGGUGGAUGACGGUACCGUAAGAAGAAGCACCGGCUAACUACGUGCCAGCCGCCGCCGUAACAC
rnacentral:rRNA from 1 species